CACAGAUGCAGGAAACAACACAAAAUCUAACUACACAAGAUCCCCCAACAACUUGCUUAAACAUUGCCACAACAAUCCCAACAACAAGCAUCCCUCCACUGACCAUCAGCGAUCAGUGGUGGAUAUGGCUAGCAUUGGCAGCUGGAUGCGUAGUGCUACUUGUGUCAAUUGUUGUCAUAUGGAUCUUGACUCGCAAACCUGAAGAGAACAUCUAUGAGAACACCAAACCAGUGGAAUCAAGCUGCUGGAGGCGAAACCAGACCAAGAUGGACAUUUGCGACGUGCAGUCCAAAAAAACUGAUACCAUUAAACCGCUGAGGAAGUACGACACUCUUUCAAGCAACAGAAUCCGCAGGCCAUAAGCAUUACAUAUGACAGAAAUAUAUUAAAUAUCUGAUUUCAAAUGCCUUACCAUGGACACAUAUUAAAUUUUGUAAUGUAGCAUUUCCCGAGAUGGUAAGAUGUAAAUAUUUCUUUUUUUCUUUCUUUCAUUUUUUGUCAGAAAGAGAUACAUGAGAAAACCUGAUAUUUUUCCUUUAAUGACUUUCAGUUGUAUCAUACUGAAACAUUCUGUGGUUACAAAUACAUGUGAAAAACAAUGAAAAGAAAAAUCUGCUACACUCCUUUUCCACUCGCAAUUAAUAAAGCAUAUUAUUGUGACUCUACAAGUAGGUCUAGGCAUUUCAGAACCAACAUAAAGAUGAAUCGACCAUGAUUAGAAAACAAACCACAUAGCCUACUGUGAGAGUGGCAAAUGAGAGAAGAAAAUAAGGAAUUGAGCUGUUUCAUACUUAUGAAUCAUUAAUUCUUAUGUAGUCAUUAAAGGAACUGAGAAUUUUCUUUGAACACCCGUUUCAACAUAACUCAACUCAGACAUUGACCUUACUUUGGUUAGAUGCCAUAUUGAAUUUAACACAUAUUAAAUGUGAAGGACAUACUUACAGUCUUUGCAAUGGCACGCACUGUAUAUAUCAAAACUCCUAAUAACUGAAAACACUGUUCUGUGGUUUUUUUUUCUACUGAAGCUUUUUGAACAAUGAUGUUGUUAAACAACAAUACAAUCGAUUGAACGCAAUGUACUUCUACCCCUCACAGCCUCGUUUCAUUCGGACCAAAAAUGUGAUAACGUUACUCGACGUUAUAACCUACCUCAAAUCUUGAAAAAAACUUAAAUGAACACAUCACUAUUUUUGAAAAUAGGAUCAUUUUCCAACUUCCCUAGAGUUAAACAGUUGAGUUUUACCGUUUUCUAAUCAUUAGGCCGAUCUUCAGGUCUGGCGUUUGCACUUUUAGCUUA